rnacentral:rRNA from 1 species
GAACGCUAGCGGCAGGCUUAACACAUGCAAGUCGAGGGGCAGCGCGGAGUAGCAAUACUCUGGCGGCGACCGGCGGAAGGGUGCGUAACGCGUGAGCAACAUGCCCGUAUCAGGAGGAUAACCGAUGGAAACGUCGCCUAAUACUCCAUAACAACAUGGGGGACAUCCCUUGUGUUUGAAAGCUUUUGGCGGAUACGGAUUGGCUCGCGUGACAUUAGCUAGUUGGCGGGGUAACGGCCCACCAAGGCGACGAUGUCUAGGGGUUCUGAGAGGAAGGUCCCCCACACUGGAACUGAGACACGGUCCAGACUCCUACGGGAGGCAGCAGUGAGGAAUAUUGGUCAAUGGGCGCAAGCCUGAACCAGCCAUGCCGCGUGAAGGAAUGAGGCCCUAUGGGUCGUAAACUUCUUUUGUGGUGGAGCAAUAAGGCGUACGUGUACGCCGAUGAGAGUACAUCACGAAUAAGCAUCGGCUAACUACGUGCC